CCUACGGGAGGCAGCAGUGGGGAAUAUUGCACAAUGGGGGAAACCCUGAUGCAGCGACGCCGCGUGAGUGAAGAAGUAUUUCGGUAUGUAAAGCUCUAUCAGCAGGGAAGAAAAUGACGGUACCUGACUAAGAAGCCCCGGCUAACUACGUGCCAGCAGCCGCGGUAAUACGUAGGGGGCAAGCGUUAUCCGGAUUUACUGGGUGUAAAGGGAGCGUAGACGGCAGCACAAGUCUGGAGUGAAAUGCCGGGGCUUAACCCCGGAACUGCUUUGGAAACUGUGCAGCUAGAGUGCAGGAGCGGUAAGUGGAAUUCCUAGUGUAGCGGUGAAAUGCGUAGAUAUUAGGAGGAACACCAGUGGCGAAGGCGGCUUACUGGACUGUAACUGACGUUGAGGCUCGAAAGCGUGGGGAGCAAACAGGAUUAGAUACCCCAGUAGUC
rnacentral:rRNA from 1 species